rnacentral:lncRNA from 1 species
GCGUCCAUUCUCGGUCUUCCUCACCCAUUCACUAACUAAUGUGUGUUGCCUUGUAAAACUAAAAUCUGGGUGCAGACCCAGCUAUGCUUGGCACAAGGAACUGUAACGUAAUCACUGUUUCCUGGCACACAGGAAGGAGAUUCCUCUUCUUGGGGGUCAUGAGUGAGACCGAGGCCAGCCUGUCCUUAUCAUCCUUGGCUCCUCAGGAGCACUGAGUGGGACCGCCAGUGAAGGCGUGGCUCUCCUCCAGGCCACUUGAGGAAAUGCUCUUCAGGAAGCUAUGAGUCUCAGAGCUGAGUGGUCUACGUCCCUUGUCUGCACUAGCUACUAACACUGGGCCUCUCUA